rnacentral:rRNA from 1 species
AACGGAAAGGCCCUGCUUUUGUGGGGUGCUCGAGUGGCGAACGGGUGAGUAACACGUGAGUAACCUGCCCUUGACUUUGGGAUAACUUCAGGAAACUGGGGCUAAUACCGGAUAGGAGCUCCUGCUGCAUGGUGGGGGUUGGAAAGUUUCGGCGGUUGGGGAUGGACUCGCGGCUUAUCAGCUUGUUGGUGGGGUAGUGGCUUACCAAGGCUUUGACGGGUAGCCGGCCUGAGAGGGUGACCGGCCACAUUGGGACUGAGAUACGGCCCAGACUCCUACGGGAGGCAGCAGUGGGGAAUAUUGCACAAUGGGCGGAAGCCUGAUGCAGCAACGCCGCGUGCGGGAUGACGGCCUUCGGGUUGUAAACCGCUUUCGCCUGUGACGAAGCGUGAGUGACGGUAAUGGGUAAAGAAGCACCGGCUAACUACGUGCCAGCAGCCGCGGUGAUACGUAGGGUGCGAGCGUUGUCCGGAUUUAUUGGGCGUAAAGGGCUCGUAGGUGGUUGAUCGCGUCGGAAGUGUAAUCUUGGGGCUUAACCCUGAGCGUGCUUUCGAUACGGGUUGACUUGAGGAAGGUAGGGGAGAAUGGAAUUCCUGGUGGAGCGGUGGAAUGCGCAGAUAUCAGAGGAACACCAGUGGCGAAAGCGGUUCUCUGGGCCUUUCCUGACGCUGAGGAGCGAAAGCGUGGGGAGCGAACAGGCUUAGAUACCCUGGUAGUCCACGCUGUAAACGGUGGGUACUAGGUGUGGGGUCCAUUCCACGGGUUCCGU